rnacentral:rRNA from 1 species
CGAACGCUGGCGGCAGGCUUAACACAUGCAAGUCGAACGGGCCCUUCGGGGUCAGUGGCAGACGGGUGAGUAACGCGUGGGAACGUGCCCUCCAGUUCGGAAUAACCCAGGGAAACUUGGGCUAAUACCGGAUACGUGCGAGAGCAGAAAGAUUUAUCGCUGAAGGAUCGGCCCGCGUCUGAUUAGCUAGUUGGUAGGGUAAUGGCCUACCAAGGCGACGAUCAGUAGCUGGUCUGAGAGGAUGAUCAGCCACAUUGGGACUGAGACACGGCCCAAACUCCUACGGGAGGCAGCAGUGGGGAAUAUUGGACAAUGGGCGCAAGCCUGAUCCAGCCAUGCCGCGUGAGCGAUGAAGGCCUUAGGGUUGUAAAGCUCUUUCGUCCGGGACGAUAAUGACGGUACCGGAAGAAGAAGCCCCGGCUAACUUCGUGCCAGCAGCCGCGGUAAUACGAAGGGGGCUAGCGUUGUUCGGAAUCACUGGGCGUAAAGGGCGCGUAGGCGGCUUUGUAAGUCGGGGGUGAAAGCCUGUGGCUCAACCACAGAAUUGCCUUCGAUACUGCAUGGCUUGAGACCGGAAGAGGUAAGUGGAACUGCGAGUGUAGAGGUGAAAUUCGUAGAUAUUCGCAAGAACACCAGUGGCGAAGGCGGCUUACUGGUCCGGUUCUGACGCUGAGGCGCGA